rnacentral:rRNA from 1 species
GACGAACGCUGGCGGCGUGCUUAACACAUGCAAGUCGAACGAAGAGCGACGGAAGCUUGCUUCUAUCAAUCUUAGUGGCGAACGGGUGAGUAACGCGUAAUCAACCUGCCCUUCAGAGGGGGACAACAGUUGGAAACGACUGCUAAUACCGCAUACGAUCUAAUCUCGGCAUCGAGGAUGGAUGAAAGGUGGCCUCUACAUGUAAGCUAUCACUGAAGGAGGGGAUUGCGUCUGAUUAGCUAGUUGGAGGGGUAACGGCCCACCAAGGCGAUGAUCAGUAGCCGGUCUGAGAGGAUGAACGGCCACAUUGGGACUGAGACACGGCCCAGACUCCUACGGGAGGCAGCAGUGGGGAAUCUUCCGCAAUGGACGAAAGUCUGACGGAGCAACGCCGCGUGAGGGGUGACGGCCUUCGGGUUGUAAAGCUCUGUUAAUCGGGACGAAAGGCCUUCUUGCGAAUAGUGAGAAGGAUUGACGGUACCGGAAUAGAAAGCCACGGCUAACUACGUG